rnacentral:misc_RNA from 1 species
CACUGACAUAGAUUAGUAUAUAAUAGUUAUCUUUUCCAUCAGUUAUGAAUUUAGAUGCACACGACCAUAAAUGCAUAGAUUCCACGCAAUGAUAUUUGACUACAGCCAUACUGUGCAUGUAUUUUCUUUCCAGUGGAAAUUGAAUGCCCUUGAAAAUCCUAAAGCCACUCAAAAUUCUCAAAAUUCAUGAAAUAGGAGAAAGCGUGUAUCAGGAUUCAGGACUUAAGUAUUUUCUUUCUUUAUAUAUAAUGACUGCCCUAUAUCUAUAUUGAUACAAAUUUAAUCCAUUAUGCAGCCAUUUUAGCUAUAAAUGGAAGAUUCUAGGACUUGGCUUUGUUGCAACAAGAUAAAAGAGUAUAAUUAACCACUGGAGAAGGAGAACGAG